UACGUAGGGGGGCUAGCGUUGUCCGGAAUCAUUGGGCGUAAAGAGCGCGUAGGCGGCCAGAUAAGUCCGGUGUGAAAGUCACAGGCUCAACCUGUGAAUGCCGGCGGAUACUGUCGGGCUAGAGUCCGGAAGAGGCGAGUGGAAUUCCCGGUGUAGCGGUGAAAUGCGCAGAUAUCGGGGAGGAACACCUAUGGCGAAGGCAGCUCGCUGGGACGGCACUGACGCUGGAGACGCGAAAACGUGGGGGAGCAAACAGG
rnacentral:rRNA from 1 species